UGAUGUGAGUAUGAUUGACUGAGACAUUUGUCACCUCAUUGAUUACUACUGGAUGGCUAGGCAGAUGUCUUCUUCAUCUCUUACCUCUCCAUGUUAAUCCUGUCCAAAGUUGUAGGCUCAGUUGAAGAGGAUGACCUUCCCCGAUAGAGGACCCUUUUUGGAUUCAGGGUAUUCCAGGAGAUGCACACCUCUAGCUAGACCCUCCAAACUGGCUUUUUUUUUCUCCCACCUAGGACCUCAGCCCUCUGGGACAGUUUUUUUUUUCCUCUAAAACUUUAGCCUGUACCAGAAUCACCCUGAGGCUGUUGGUUACAAAU
rnacentral:snRNA from 1 species